rnacentral:misc_RNA from 1 species
GAUGAAGAACGCAGCGAAAUGCGAUACGUAGUGUGAAUUGCAGAAUUCAGUGAAUCAUCGAAUCUUUGAACGCACAUUGCACCUCUCGGUAUUCCGGGAGGUAUGCCUGUUCGAGCGUCAUUUGUACCCUCAAGCUCUGCUUGGUGUUGGGUGUUUGUUCCGCCUCUGAGUGUGAACUCGCCUCAAAACAAUUGGCAGCCGGCGUACUUGUUUCGGAGCGCAGCACAUUUUGCGAUCCAGAUCAACGUACAGCGGCAUCCAAGAAGCCUUAUUUAACGCUCUUGACCUCGGAUCAGGUAGGGAUACCCGCUGAACUUAAGCAUAUCAAUAAGCGGAGGA